rnacentral:rRNA from 1 species
GCGUGAGUGAUGAAGGCCUUAGGGUUGUAAAGCUCUUUUACCCGGGACGAUAAUGACGGUACCGGGAGAAUAAGCCCCGGCUAACUCCGUGCCAGCAGCCGCGGUAAUACGGAGGGGGCUAGCGUUGUUCGGAAUUACUGGGCGUAAAGCGCGCGUAGGCGGUUCUUUAAGUCAGAGGUGAAAGCCCGGAGCUCAACUUCGGAAUUGCCUUUGAGACUGGGGGACUUGAAUCCGGGAGAGGUGAGUGGAAUUCCGAGUGUAGAGGUGAAAUUCGU